rnacentral:rRNA from 1 species
UAAAAAGCUCGUAGUUGGAUCUGUGUAUCGGACGGUCGGUUCGCCGCUCGCGGCGUUUAACUGACCGGUCCGGACGUCCUGCCGGUGGGCGGCGGUCCUCCGCGGCCGCGGCCCGUAACUCCCUCCGCGCUGCUCUUAACCGAGUGGUUCGGUGGGCCGGCACGUUUACUUUGAACAAAUUUGAGUGCUCAAAGCAGGCCUUGCGUCGCCUGAAAACUGUGUGCAUGGAAUAAUGGAAUAGGGCCUUGGUUCUAUUUUGUUGGCUUUUCUGAACUCGAGGUAAUGAUUAAUAGGGACAGACGGGGGCAUUCGUAUUGCGACGUUAGAGGUGAAAUUCUUGGAUCGUCGCAAGACGAACGGAUGCGAAAGCGUUUGCCAAGAAUGUUUUCGCUAAUCAAGAACGAAAGUUAGAGGUUCGAAGGCGAUCAGAUACCGCCCUAGUUCUAACCAUAAACGAUGCCAGCCAGCGAUGCGCCGAAGUUCCUCCGAUGACUCGGCGCGCAGCUUCCGGGAAACCAAAGCUUUUGGGUUCCGGGG